UAUUGUGCUAAAAAUAUGUUUAUGUAUUAAGUUGGUAGAAUAAUAUGAAGAGUAGGUACCCAGAAUGAAGACACAAAACCUAAUGUGCUCAAAUAUCCUCUCUUGUUGUUUGAAAAGUUGUCUGGAGAGCAGUGCAAAGCCUCUUCUUCCUCAUGGGCCUGACUUGUCUGCUGCCGUGCUGUCCUCAGCAGCGCCGUGGGGUGGUGACUAAUUGCCCCCGUAAAUCACCGAGCAGCACUGUGCUACUCCGUUUAUUUUUCUGACAGUAAUUUAGUGCUUGCUCUUUCCCACACUUGUCAUUCCGUGUUUUUCCUCACAUUAGAAGCCUCAGGGCUUCGGCGUUGGGGUCCGGCCUACAAUCUCUUCUUCUGCCCAAGCGAAAUCCAGGGGAGUGACACUGGAGGCGUCUGCACCCACAGGGCAGUGACGCGGGCCUCGACUGGGGAAAAGGGCGGAAGGGCUGAGUCCCUUUCCCUAUUCCACCCAUUUCCCGAGUAUCUACCUCAGGGUUAGCCAGCCCUGCCCCCUCCCUCCGCUCCUCAACGCCCGCCGGGUGCAAUCUGCUCUCUCCGGGAGACGAACGCGAAGCGACGUGGAAACCCUUCCACCAAAAUGAGCUGUGAUAUCCUUUUGAUGGCUAUAAUUUAUUCCAAAUCGUCCCUGGACUGAAACGAUCAAUUAGCAGCCCGAAACGCACUGUGAAGUAAAUUGUCACACUCUCUAUUACAGGAUGGUUAUCAUAUAUUUAUAAGGUGUGUUUUCUGCAAUCAGAACCAACAAGGUGUUGAGCGAUCAGUCAUAAACGCACUUCUUCAAAAAGAGAGGGAGAGAAGCUCAGCAUUGUGUGGCGGGGGAAUAAUCCUCAUGACAGUUCUCUCCCCACCCAGUGAUGUUUUGUCUUGGCACCUGGGAAGUGCAGUGAGGGCUGGAGCUCUGGACGGACUCUCUUCGCCACGCGUGCCCCUGGAAGCAGGGUCCCUGUGAACUACGGAGAGACCCCAGAGGAGAGAUUUCCUUAUUGUGUAAACACAAAUCAGUCGUUUUUUUUUUUUAAUUUAUUGAUUUAUUGAUCAUUCUUGGGUGUUUCUCGCAGAGGGGGAUUUGGCAGGGUCAUAGGACAAUAGUGGAGGGAAGGUCAGCAGAUACACAAGUGAACAAAGGUCUCUGGUUUUCCUAGGCAGAGGACCCUGCGGCCUUCCGCAGUGUUUGUGUCCCUGGGUACUUGAGAUUAGGGAGUGGUGAUGACUCUUAAGGAGCAUGCUGCCUUCAAGCAUCUGUUUAACAAAGCACAUCUUGCACCGCCCUUAAUCCAUUUAACCCUGAGUGGACACAGCACAUGUUUCAGAGAGCACAGGGUUGGGGGGUAAGGUCACAGAUCAACAGGAUCCCAAGGCAGAAUAAUUUUUCUUAGUACAGAACAAAACGAAAAGUCUCCCAUGUCUACUUCUUUCUACACAGACACGGCAACCAUCCGAUUUCUCAAUCUUUUCCCCACCUUUCCCCCCUUUCUAUUCCACAAAACCGCCAUUGUCAUCAUGGCCCGUUCUCAAUGAGCUGUUGGGUACACCUCCCAGACGGGGUGGCUGGCCAGGCAGAGGGGCUCCUCACUUCCCAG
rnacentral:lncRNA from 1 species